UUCAGAUAUCUACCAUCAAGAUAAAACAUAGACUAAGUGGAGUUACCUCAAAGGCUGAGCCUGGUGGUGGUUGACUGAAUUUGGAAGAAUGAAUACUGAGAAGAAUACAACAAAGGAAGUUUUUACUUCUAGAGGAUUCAGAAGAACAAAACAACGCUGGAAAUUCAACAUCAAAGGAAAUCAGAGCAAGAACUCAAACAGGAGAAGAGCCUGGAGG